CAGUCGCCGCGGGAAUACAGAGGGUGCAAGCGUUAAUCGGAAUUACUGGGCGUAAAGCGCGCGUAGGUGGUUCGCCAAGUUGGAUGUGAAAUCCCCGGGCUCAACCUGGGAACUGCAUCCAAAACUGGCGAGCUAGAGUAUGGUAGAGGGUGGUGGAAUUUCCUGUGUAGCGGUGAAAUGCGUAGAUAUAGGAAGGAACAUCAGUGGCGAAGGCGACCACCUGGACUGAUACUGACACUGAGGUGCGAAAGCGUGGGGAGCAAACAGGAUUAGAUACCCCCGUAGUCCCUGUCUCUUAUAA
rnacentral:rRNA from 1 species